UACGGGGGGCAAGCGUUGUUCGGAAUUACUGGGCGUAAAGGGCCAGUAGGCGGCCAACUAAGUCCGACGUGAAAUCCCAAGGCUUAACCUUGGAACUGCGUCGGAUAUUGGAUGGCUUGAAUUCGGGAGAGGGAUGCAGAAUUCCAGGUGUAGCGGUGAAAUGCGUAGAUAUCAGGAGGAACACCGGUGGCGAAGGCGGGUCUCUGGCCGAUACUGACGCUGGAGGAGCGAAAGCGUGGGGAGCAAACAGG
rnacentral:rRNA from 1 species